rnacentral:rRNA from 1 species
AACGAUCCUAGCUUGCUAGGAGGCGUCGAGCGGCGGACGGGUGAGUAAUGCAUAGGAAUCUGCCCGGUAGUGGGGGAUAACCUGAGGAAACUCAGGCUAAUACCGCAUACGUCCUACGGGAGAAAGCAGGGGCUCUUCGGACCUUGCGCUAUCGGAUGAGCUUAUGUCGGAUUAGCUGGUUGGUGAGGUAACGGCUCACCAAGGCGACGAUCCGUAGCUGGUCUGAGAGGAUGAUCAGCCACAUCGGGACUGAGACACGGCCCGAACUCCUACGGGAGGCAGCAGUGGGGAAUAUUGGACAAUGGGGGCAACCCUGAUCCAGCCAUGCCGCGUGUGUGAAGAAGGCCCUCGGGUUGUAAAGCACUUUCUGUGAGGAAGAAGGCUUGUCGGUUAAUACUCGGA